AAGCGGCAACAGCUCAAAUUUGAAAUCUGGCCCUCGGGUCCGAGUUGUAAUUUGUAGAGGACGCCUUUGGCGCGGUGCCUUCCGAGUUCCCUGGAACGGGACGCCUUAGAGGGUGAGAGCCCCGUACGGUUGGACACCAAGCCUCUGUAAGGCCCCUUCGACGAGUCGAGUAGUUUGGGAAUGCUGCUCUAAAUGGGAGGUAAAUUUCUUCUAAAGCUAAAUACUGGCCAGAGACCGAUAGCGCACAAGUAGAGUGAUCGAAAGAUGAAAAGCACUUUGAAAAGAGGGUUAAAUAGCACGUGAAAUUGUUGAAAGGGAAGCGUUUGCGACCAGACCUCUCCCCGGCGGGUCACCUGGUGUUCUUCACCGGGGCACUUCGCCGGGGCAGAGGCCAGCAUCGGUUUCCGCAGGGGGAUAAAAGCUCAGGGAACGUAGCUCCUUCGGGAGUGUUAUAGCCCUCUGCACAAUACCCCUGCGGGGACCGAGGACCGCGCCCCCGGGCAAGGAUGCUGGCGUAAUGGUCGCCAACGACCCGUCUUGAAACACGGACCAAGGAGUCGAACAUUUGUGCGAGUGUUUGGGUGUUAAACCCUCACGCGUAAUGAAAGUGAACGGAGGUGAGAGCCCCUAGGGGCGCAUCAUCGACCGAUCCUGAUGUCUUCGGAUGGAUUUGAGUAAGAGCACAACUGUUCGGACCCGAAAGAUGGUGAACUAUGCGUGGAUAGGGUGAAGCCAGAGGAAACUCUGGUGGAGGCUCGCAGCGGUUCUGACGUGCAAAUCGAUCGUCAAAUCUGCGCAUGGG
rnacentral:rRNA from 1 species